rnacentral:rRNA from 1 species
AUUGAACGCUGGCGGCAGGCCUAACACAUGCAAGUCGAGCGGUAGAGAGGUGCUUGCACCUCUUGAGAGCGGCGGACGGGUGAGUAAUGCCUAGGAAUCUGCCUGGUAGUGGGGGAUAACGCUCGGAAACGGACGCUAAUACCGCGUACGUCCUACGGGAGAAAGCAGGGGACCUUCGGGCCUUGCGCUAUCAGAUGAGCCUAGGUCGGAUUAGCUAGUUGGUGAGGUAAUGGCUCACCAAGGCGACGAUCCGUAACUGGUCUGAGAGGAUGAUCAGUCACACUGGAACUGAGACACGGUCCAGACUCCUACGGGAGGCAGCAGUGGGGAAUAUUGGACAAUGGGCGAAAGCCUGAUCCAGCCAUGCCGCGUGUGUGAAGAAGGUCUUCGGAUUGUAAAGCACUUUAAGUUGGGAGGAAGGGUCGUUACCUAAUACGUGACGAUUUUGACAUUACCGACAGAAUAAGCACCGGCUAACUCUGUGCCAGCCGCCGCGGUAA